rnacentral:lncRNA from 1 species
AUCCUUGCCUGCCUGAGCCCUUCCAAAGCUGAGCAGCUCUUUUCCUUCCUUUCUGUGUCUGUGGCUGCUGCAUUUGAGUUCAUUCUCAUUUGCUUAACCAAAGACUUUGCCACCCUGCUGUUAUCAUCCUAUUCUAGCAUUACAGAAGGGCAGUUUCAGUGGAGGGAAGUUGCUGCUCCAAUUCUCAAAGCAGGAUUAAAUGGAGCACACAGGGAGAGGGAUGAAAGGUUCGUAUUUGUGUGGACGCCGUUGUCAAUCACAUGUGUGGAUCUGCAGCGGGUCAGGCACCUGCGGGAGCUGUCAACACAGGGAACAGAGGGUUUCCUGCUCUGCCCUUCCCUGCCUGGGAUUUCAGUGGUGGCAAAUGUCAUACUGGAAGCGGAGACAUCGAAAAUCAUGGGGACGUGUAUCAGGUAACUUUCUGUGGCAGCACUUUGAUUUUUUUUAUUUUUAUUUUUAAUUUUGUUGUGUAAAGAUUAAAGCCAAAGAAAGGGAGUAGUUCAUCGCAGGCUGAACGCUUAGUCACCACUGCUGAGUGCUGCAGUGGACAUCAUAGCUUCUCCUUCGGAAAAGCACCCGUACUGCUGCGCAGUAUUGUAGGCACUGAGAAAUCACGAACCCUCCCCAGGUGUUUAUUGUGGGCUUGUGAAGGAGAGAGCGUCUGAACCGACUGAGCCCAGGCCUUUCGGUCCAUCAGCGAGCUCUUUCUUACAGCUUGUUAAAUCAGGUGCUCUCAGUAAGGAGACACAUAGAAAUUUGAGAGCUG